AGAGUAGCCAAGCCGGGAAGGGAUAAACGCUGAAGGCAUCUAAGCGUGAAGCCCCCCUCAAGAUGAGAUAUCCCUACGUAAAGUAGUAAGACCCCUUGAAGACGACGAGGUAGAUAGGGCAGAGGUGGAAGUGUGGUAACACAUGGAGCUGACUGUUACUAAUCGGUCGAGGGCACAACCAU
rnacentral:rRNA from 1 species